rnacentral:rRNA from 1 species
AACGAACGCUGGCGGCAUGCCUAACACAUGCAAGUCGAACGAGACCUUCGGGUCUAGUGGCGCACGGGUGCGUAACGCGUGGGAACCUGCCCUUAGGUUCGGAAUAACUCCCCGAAAGGGGUGCUAAUACCGGAUAAUGUCUUCGGACCAAAGAUUUAUCGCCUUUGGAUGGGCCCGCGUUGGAUUAGCUAGUUGGUAGGGUAAAAGCCUACCAAGGCGACGAUCCAUAGCUGGUCUGAGAGGAUGAUCAGCCACACUGGGACUGAGACACGGCCCAGACUCAGGGGGGAGGGAGGUGGGGGACAGUGUGGCAAGGGGGCUAAGGCCUGAUGCAGAAAGGCGGUGUUGCUGGAGAAGGCCUGAGGGUUGUAAUGCUCUUGUACAGGUGAUGACCAGAACAGCACGGGGAGAUUACUCUCGGCCUACCUCCCCGCCAGAAGACGCGGUAAUAUCGAAGAGCACCCGUUACAUC